ACGGAAGGCAGCAGUGGGGGAUAUUGCACAAUGGGGGAAACCCUGAUGCAGCGACGCCGCGUGAGCGAAGAAGUAUUUCGGUAUGUAAAGCUCUAUCAGCAGGGAAGAAAAUGACGGUACCUGACUAAGAAGCCCCGGCUAACUACGUGCCAGCAGCCGCGGUAAUACGCAGGGGGCAAGCGUUAUCCGGAUUUACUGGGUGUAAAGGGAGCGUAGACGGCGAGGCAAGUCUGAUGUGAAAGCUCGGGGCUCAACCCCGGAACUGCAUUGGAAACUGUUUUGCUAGAGUGUCGGAGAGGUAAGCGGAAUUCCUAGUGUAGCGGUGAAAUGCGUAGAUAUUAGGAGGAACACCAGUGGCGAAGGCGGCUUACUGGACGAUAACUGACGUUGAGGCUCGAAAGCGUGGGGAGCAAACAGGAUUAGAUACCCUGGUA
rnacentral:rRNA from 1 species